UAUAGAAAUAUACAAAUAGUUUCCAGGUGUGACGCUCCGGUUGGGUAAAGUGGGCGGGGUAUAUAAGCGGCCGCUGUGCCCAGUCAGACAUGUGUCUUCCUCAUCAUCCACUGUGUGGCCCGCGUCUCUUGGGUUCCAGCGGAAGAAAAGGCAACAUAUCGCCAGUGUGGUGCAUGCUGUUUUGAUUCCCUGGUGGUGAAACGCUAUUGUGCUGCUCUCCUCUGCUUCCUCGUUCAGCGAGUGUGUGUGUGCGUUUUUGCCUGGAUUGACAGGUUUCCCCAUAUUCGAACCAUUGCUGCUCUUUUGGAUCCCGGAUUUUGCACGUCAUCAGUCAAACUUGGACUGUGGUGGCGCCUAUACGCCUUAAUUGGAGCGGUGUUUGGGGUGUGGCAUCGGCGCGCCGAGCUCGCUUCCUGCAGUGGCGUGACCAGAGCCACACCGGAUCUUAAUAUUCAACUUGGAUUUUCUAUUUGUUUAUUUAGUUUCCAGCCCUUUGGUUCCUUUAGAUAAUUGUUUAUUUAUUUGGGCUGAUAUUGUUUUUCUUUUGUUGUAUUAAGUAUAAGGUUGUUGUAUUUGGUUAACUGUUUUUCUGUUGUUUGCAGUUGCUGAGGCCCGGUGGCGGUGCUGGUGUGGUGACGGUGUCUCCCUCUUUUUUGUGCCGUGAUUCCUGAGUUUGGGUUGUCUCACUGCGUCUGGUGCUUUUACGGUUUUUUUGUUUGCUGUGUUUGGUGGAUGCCGUCCCUAUAGUGGCCCCUUCUGCCGGUGACCUCAGCUACUAUAGUUUUUUUUUCUGUCUUUCCUUAGUUUUUUUGUUAAGAACUGGUUUUAAAAGAAUUUAAUAAAUAGCUUUUUGUGUAUUUG